rnacentral:rRNA from 1 species
AAUUUUGACACCUCUGCCCUAAAGCACCAGAUCCCAUCUGAUCUUGGGAGCUAAGCAAGGUCAGCCCAGGUUAGAACGUAGAUGGGAAAAAGCCAAGGAAUACCAGGUGCUGAAAGCU